UGGGGAAUAUUGCACAAUGGGGGAAACCCUGAUGCAGCGACGCCGCGUGAGCGAAGAAGGCUUUCGAGUCGUAAAGCUCUGUCCUAUGAGAAGAUAAUGACGGUAUCAUAGGAGGAAGCCCUGGCUAAAUACGUGCCAGCAGCCGCGGUAAUACGUAUGGGGCGAGCGUUGUCCGGAAUCACUGGGCGUAAAGGGUUCGCAGGCGGAAUAACAAGUCAGAUGUGAAAGGCAUGGGCUCAACCCAUGUAAGCAUUUGAAACUGUAAUUCUUGAGAAGUGGAGAGGUAAGUGGAAUUCCUAGUGUAGCGGUGAAAUGCGUAGAUAUUAGGAGGAAUACCUGUGGCGAAGGCGACUUACUGGACACAAAUCUGACGCUGAGGAACGAAAGCGUGGGUAGCAAACAGG
rnacentral:rRNA from 1 species